AGUCCGCCAUUGCAAACACGAAGCUCUUCCAGAAACGCCCUCACAGACACCCCGGAAGUCACGUACCCACUCUGUAGGUGCCCCGGGGCACAGGCAAGCGGACGAGCCAGUUAUCCCUCAGAGCUCCUGCUGCCUCGCCCGCUUUCUCUCGGAAACGUGAAGUGUGGCCUCAGCUGAAAGUGAGGUGGGCCUCAUUCAAUCAGUUGAAUUCUUCAAGAGAGAAAAACUGAAGUCCCUUAGAAGGAAAGAGUUCUGCCUUCAGACUGUCUUUGAACUUAAGACUGUAGCGUCGACUCCUGCCGGAAUUUCCAGCCUGCUGGCCAGCUCUGCAGAUUCACACUUGCCAGCCUCCACAAUCUAAAUCAAAGGUUUCGCCAUCAUGUAAACCCUUGGGCGACAGAGUCUACCUGUCUCCCCCUGAUAUUGUUCUAUGAGAUUUCGAUGCUAUCUUCAUUGCCAGCAGCCCUGACAAAGAUGCACUGCAGACGGAUAGCCUCUCAGGAACCUGCUUACCUCAGAGCCUGCUGCGGACUGAGUUGUCUUCUCCAAAAUCCAUUUGUGGAGGCCCUCAUCCCCAGUGGGAGAGUAUUUGGAGAUGAAGCAUUUGGAGGUGAUUAAGCUUAGAUGAGCUCAGAGUGGAGCCUCAGGAUGGCAUCGAUGCCCUGGUAAAGAGGGACACUGAGACCUGGCCCUCCCUUGCUCUCCACCGUGUGAGGACACAAUGAGAUGGUGGCCACCUACAAGCCAGGAACUGAACCCUACGGGGCCUUGACACUGGCCGUUCCAGCCUCCAGAAUGGCUAGGAAUAAAUGUCUGCUCUUUAAGUCACUGGGCGGUGGAGCUUUGUUAUGGCAGCACCAGGGGCUGGUUGAGAGCCUUUGCAUGGCUCUUGUUCCACCUGGAAUGAGAUUUCUAACUCUUGGCUACCUCACCCCCUUACCUCAUUGUUUCAUGUUGCAACCACCCACCCACUCCCCAUGUCUCUGGCAUUCUCAUUUAUUUUUUCUUUGAUUUCAUAGAACACAUCACAAAGCCAUUUGCUCAUGCAUGAUGUUUAUUGUCUAUUUUCUAUCUCCCUGCUAGAGGGUAAGAUGCUCAAGAACACUGCUCUGUCUGCCUCCCUGGACCCAGAAAAUGCUUGGCGUGUGGUAGAACUUAGAUAUAUUUGUGUUGAAUAAAUUAAUUGAAGGGGUUUGCAGACUAUUCAGUACAAUCGAUUAUAAAAACCCGAACCAGCCCCAUCAUUGCUAAACUUUAAUGAGGCAAGUAGGAUAUCAUUUUUAGUGGGAAAAAUCAGGUUCAUUCAAAGUGUUGGGGAAUCCAGUGCUAUCAAACUUCUCAACAGCAACCUUGAAAGCUAGGAGAUAGAUAAUGCCUUCAAAUUUCUAGAGGAAAAUAUCUCUCACGUAGCAUUUUCUUUUCUUUCUUUCUUUCUUUUUUUUUUUUGAUGGAGUCUCGCUCUGUCACCCAGGCUGGAGUGUAGUGGUGGGAUCUCGGCUCACUGCAAGCUCUGCCUCCCAGGUUCACCCCAUUCUCCUGCCUCAGCCUCCAGAGUAGCUGGGACCACAGGCACCCACCACUACGCAUGGCUAAUUUUUUGUAUUUUUAGUAGAGAUGGGAUUUCACCAUGUUAGCCAGGAUGGUCUCGAUCUCCUGACCUCGUGAUCCGCCCUCCUCGGCCUCCCAAAGUGCUGGGAUUACAGGCGUGAGCCACCGCACCUGGCCUCACAUAGCAUUUUCUACUCAGCCCAACUUUCAUUCACAUAGGAGGGAAGAAUAAAGGCAUUUUCUUACAUGCAGACUCUAAGCAGAUAUUACUCAUUUGCCUUUUUUGGGGACAGUCCUGUAGCAUGUGAUUCAACAAAACACAUCCAUAAACCAAGUAGCUCCAAGAAACAGUGACUACACCCAGGAAGGAAAGGAAGAGGCUGUCCAGGAUGGUGAUGAUGAACAUCCAAGAAAGCAAUUAUCAGACAAAGGGACAUACAUUGACAGGGGCGUGUGCAUCGGCAGGGGAGUUGCAGGAUAUACCAGUCCUAAGCACAUUAAAAUCUCAAAAAAAAAAAAAA
ensembl:lncRNA EPIC1 epigenetically induced MYC interacting lncRNA 1